CCUUCCAAAGUUUGCAAAUUUUUUAUACUUUUGUACUGCAAUUUUCGCAUGCAAUACAAAAGUAUACAAAAUUUGCAAACUUUGCAA
rnacentral:miRNA from 1 species